AUUGAACGCUGGCGGCAGGCCUAACACAUGCAAGUCGAACGGUAACAGGAAGAAGCUUGCUUCUUUGCUGACGAGUGGCGGACGGGUGAGUAAUGUCUGGGAAACUGCCUGAUGGAGGGGGAUAACUACUGGAAACGGUAGCUAAUACCGCAUAACGUCGCAAGACCAAAAAGGGGGACCUUCGGGCCUCUUGCCAUCGGAUGUGCCCAGAUGGGAUUAGCUAGUAGGUGGGGUAACGGCUCACCUAGGCGACGAUCCCUAGCUGGUCUGAGAGGAUGACCAGCCACACUGGAACUGAGACAUGGUCCAGACUCCUACGGGAGGCAGCAGUGGGGAAUAUUGCACAAUGGGCGCAAGCCUGAUGCAGCCAUGCCGCGUGUAUGAAGAAGGCCUUCGGGUUGUAAAGUACUUUCAGCGGGGAGGAAGGGAGUAAAGUUAAUACCUUUGCUCAUUGACGUUACCCGCAGAAGAAGCACCGGCUAACUCCGU
rnacentral:rRNA from 1 species